rnacentral:lncRNA from 1 species
UUCAAUCCAUGAAAUUUGUGGUUCAUAGAAGUAAAAUAUUUUCCCACAUUUCACUUGGUAAAUUCUUCCAUCCCAAAUUUUUUCCUACAACACAAUUAUUUAUUAAACCAAUCUGCAAUGCCGGACGCUCGAUCCAGCAACUCUGAAAGUCUGGACAGUGUUUCUUCUAAGGAAGUGCCCUCUGAGCUCUCUGAGUCCUCAGAACCACGAGAAUUGUAGAAAAGAAAACCAAAGAUUACAACGAAGACGACUACUAUGCCUGCGAUGACCCAUCCUGGAGUAGCCCACCACGAAAUAUUGUUGUCAUCGGACGAUACCGAAUUCGGGACAAAUGAAGGGGGCAAGUACGGGUAACUCGGACAAUUUUGUGGACAGUUUUUGCUCUCCAUCAAGAAAACUCCCUGUAGUUCAAUAAAAGCGAUGAAUUUACAAACAUAAUUUGAAGUAUCUAUUCACGCAAGAAAAGAAGUAGUUCUCCCAAAAGAGGGUACUUUAUUAGAAAAUAAGCACCUUUGAUCACAUAGAUCAAGAAGAUUAUAUAACCCGAGUGCAAGAACGAGAUAAUUGAAAAUGGAAUUUAACAGGAUAUGGUAUAAGUCGAAGAGUCGAAGGAGGUGCUUCCACGUACCUUAUCAAGAAGAACUAAGUAAACCAGUGAGUGAUGCUUUCGGUAUAAUUCUCACACAACC